GGCUUGAUGGUCUAGUCGUAUGAUUCCUUCUUAGGGAAAAGCUGUCUGCUUAGUCAUCUGGAGGAGGUCCCGGGUUCGAUUCCCGGUCAAGCCC